rnacentral:rRNA from 1 species
GAUGAACGCUGGCGGCGUGCCUAAUACAUGCAAGUCGAGCGAACAGAUAAGGAGCUUGCUCCUUUGACGUUAGCGGCGGACGGGUGAGUAACACGUGGGUAACCUACCUAUAAGACUGGAAUAACUCCGGGAAACCGGGGCUAAUGCCGGAUAACAUUUAGAACCGCAUGGUUCUAAAGUGAAAGAUGGUUUUGCUAUCACUUAUAGAUGGACCCGCGCCGUAUUAGCUAGUUGGUAAGGUAACGGCUUACCAAGGCAACGAUACGUAGCAGACCUGAGAGGGUGAUCGGCCACACUGGAACUGAGACACGGUCCAGACUCCUACGGGAGGCAGCAGUAGGGAAUCUUCCGCAAUGGGCGAAAGCCUGACGGAGCAACGCCGCGUGAGUGAUGAAGGUCUUCGGAUCGUAAAACUCUGUUAUUAGGGAAGAACAAAUGUGUAAGUAACUGUGCACGUCUUGACGGUACCUAAUCAGAAAGCCACGGCUAACUACGUG